rnacentral:lncRNA from 10 species
AGAUGUCCUAGGUCCUCCCAAUUCUUAGUCCUUUUAUACCUGUUUUUCUCCUUCCCUUAUUCCAUUUAGUUUUUCAAUUCAUACAAAACCAUAUCCAGGCCAUCACCAAUCAUUCUAUACGACAAAUGUUUCUUCUAACAUCCCCACAAUAUCACCCCUUACCACAAGAUCUCCCUUCAGCUUAAUCUCCCCCACUCUAGGUUCCCACGCUGCCCCUAAUCUCGCUUGAAGCAGCCCUGAGAAACAUCGCCCAUUCUCUCUCCAUACCACCCUCAAAAAUUUUCGCUGCCCCAACACUUCAACACUAUUUUGUUUUAUUUUUCUUAUUAAUAUAAGAAGGCAGGAAUGUCAGGCCUCUGAGCCCAAGCCAAGCCAUCGUAUCCCCUGUGACUUGCACGUAUACGCCCAGAUGGCCUGAAGUAACUGAAGAAUCCCAAAAGAAAUGAAAAGGCCCUGCCCCGCCUUAACUGAUGACAUUCCACCACUGUGAUUGGUUCCUGCCCCACCUUAACUGAGUGAUUAACCCUGUGAAUUUCCUUCUCCUGGCUCAGAAGCUCCCCCACUGAGCACCUUGUGACCCCCGCCCCUGCCCACCAGAGAACAACCCCCUUUGACUGUAAUUUUCCAUUACCUUCCCAAAUCCUAUAAAACAGCCCCACCCCUAUCUCCCUUCACUGACUCUCUUUUGGGACUCAGCCCACCUGCACCCAGGUGAAAUAAACAGCUUUAUUGCUCACACAAAGCCUGUUUGGUGGUCUCUUCACAGGGACGCACAUGAAACAUACUGUCUGUAAGAACCAGCCCUAAGCACUGGCAGCAUAGACUCACAUUGAGAUGACUUUUCAGCCCUGUCCUCAAGAAGCUUGAAAUUUAGUUGAGGAGAUCGGAAACAAAUGAGUUAAAUAGUUUAGAGAAAUGAAGAAAACAAUUGAAAAAGAGAGAAUGGAAAAGAAUAGAAACACUUGUCUCUAAGUUUCUUACGAAGAAUAGUUGGUAUUUAGGAGGCUUCUCUCAAUAAAAAAAGAAACCAACAAAACUAUGUUAUUAAUGAUAAUAUUAACCAAAAAACCAAACUCUGUAAAACACUUUAAAGAAGUUUAUUCUGAGUCUAUAUGAGUGACCACAGCCCAGAGAAACACAAAUCCAAGAAGCCAUUAACAAGUGACACAGCCAAAUUACAUUUUGGCUUUAUAUAUUUCAGGGAGGCAGGAGUUAAUUACAGGCAAAGACAUAAACCAAUACAUGGAAGGUAUACAUUGGUUUGGCCUGAAAAGGUGGGCUAUCUUGAAGUGGGGCUUUCAGGUUAUAGGUGAAUAGAGAGAUUCUUUAAUUUGCAAUAGGAUAAAGGAGUAAAGCUCUGUCUAAAACUUGAGUCAGCAGAAAGGACUGUUUUAAGUUAACAUAAGGAUGUUAUGUGGCAAGGAUGAUGGCCUGCAGAUGGAACUUGACUCUUGACUUGCAUGCCUUAGGUCUUGUGUAUAAUUUGUAAUCUUAUUGCCACAAAGAGUCUCUUUUGUCAGCCUUAUGAUCACUGUUUUAACAUUAAUACUAGUCAGUAGUUGUGCCUAAACUCCAAAAGGGAAGGGGCAUAAUGAGGUGUGUUCCAUCUGCUUUCCUUCAGGUCCAGGAACUCACUUUUUAUGGUUUCUCUGGGGUCCCCUUUGGCUAAGAGAAGGUCUGUUCAGCAGACAGACCUAGGCACUGCCCUCUUCCCCAAGCCAGCAGGAAAUAAGCACACAGCAUUUCUACUUUCCAUAUCUAAUCGUGAUGUUUAGGCUGACAGCAAAAGUGCCAGGUACUGUCAGUUGUGAUCACAGUCACCAAACUGGAGAACAUGGACUGAGACCCCGACAUUGACCAAACCUGAGACUGAGACAGCAGCUGCUUCACAUCUCUACCACACAGAUGCAGAUGCAGUUGCAAAGCAGUAGUACUCGGGAGUGAAAGGCAGUCAUGCUCCUCUGGUUCAUCUCGCAUCCUGUGUUGUCCACAUUGCACCCCUGUCCCUUUCCAUUUAUCACGCCAGUCUUGACAAAGAGGCAUGCUGUUUUUUUCCCUGCUUUAACCUGUUUCAGAAAUGCUGACCUUGCGAAGGUGGCUCCGAAAUACCAGAGCUGGUUUACCACAGUUUAAAUGAAAUCACUUCAUCUGAUGGCUGUGUGGGAAAUGCUGGAGUCCUGUCUCACCUCCGUGGGUCUACCUACUUACCCAGUAUUUCCUCAACUAUAAUGGGCAUAGGGAUCACUCUGAAGGGAAAAAAAAAGGCCCUCGUGGAUGUUGAAAGCAUCUUUUUCAUUAAAGUCAAUGCCAAAGUUCUCCAAGGCAAGCCAAAGCAGCAACUGAGGUAUAUGAUUAUGCAACAUCCUCAACAUGGAGACAGACAUUUUUAAAUUAACUCUGACUUCCUGGCCUAAUUCCCUCUCUUCUGGUAUCCAUACUGGUAAUUUGAAGCCUUGUAAUGUAACACUUUGUAGAGCUAGACUUUAAAGGGAGGGGACUCCUCUAGUUAGUGGUCUUUGCUUUAGCCAGAGAGUCAAAUAUGGCACAUGCUAGGAUUAGGAAUACUGAGCUUUCUCUGAUGUCUACAUUAUCAGCAAAAUUAAGGGUCAUGGUACAACCAUAGUUCCUGUCUUUUUAAACACCAUCUGAAAGAAGUUAGCCUUUACUAAUAAGUUGUAAAUCUGCCUAAAAUUGUCAUUUCCCAAGGGUACUCUGGCAAAUAAAUAUAUCUUAUCAAAAUAGUAAAUCUUUCACUGAGUACAGGAAUACCUUAUUAUAUUGCACUUCACUUUAUUGCACUUCACAAAUAUUAGGGACUUUUUCCAAAUUGAAGGUUUGUGGCAACCUUACAUCAAGUAAGUCUAUCAUUGCCAUUUUUACAACAGCACAUGCUCAAUUACUGUCUGUGUCAUAUUUUGGUAAUUUUCAAUAUUUCAUACAUUUUCAUUGUUUUUAUAUCUGUUAUAGUGACUAGUGAUCUUUGAUGUUGGUAUUGUAAUUGUUUUAAGGCCCCACAAACUGCACCUAUAUAACAUGGCAAAUUUAAUAAAUGAUAUAUAUCUUCUGACCAUUCCACCAACU